rnacentral:rRNA from 1 species
UGGGGAAUAUUGCACAAUGGAGGGAACUCUGAUGCAGCGACGCCGCGUGAACGAAGAAGGCUUUCGAGUCGUAAAGUUCUUUUAUAUGGGAAGAUAAUGACGGUACCAUAAGAAAAAGCCCCGGCUAACUACGUGCCAGCAGCCGCGGUAAUACGUAGGGGGCUAGCGUUGUCCGGAAUCACUGGGCGUAAAGGGUUCGCAGGCGGAAAUGCAAGUCAGGUGUAAAAGGCAGUAGCUUAACUACUGUAAGCAUUUGAAACUGCAUAUCUUUAGAAGAGUAGAGGUAAGUGGAAUUUUUAGUGUAGCGGUGAAAUGCGUAGAUUUUAAAAAGAAUACCGGUGGCGAAGGCGACUUACUGGGCUCAUUCUGACGCUGAGGAACGAAAGCGUGGGUAGCAAACAGG